GACGUAGGGCGCGAGCGUUGUCCGGAUUUAUUGGGCGUAAAGCGCGCGUAGGCGGUUUGGUAAGUCGGAUGUGAAAUCCCGUGGCUCAACCACGGGACUGCAUCCGAUACUGCCCGACUAGAGGUAGGUAGGGGAGAUCGGAAUUCCAGGUGUAGCGGUGAAAUGCGUAGAUAUCUGGAGGAACACCGGUGGCGAAGGCGGCGUUCUGGACUGCUACUGACACUGAGGAACGAAAGCCAGGGGAGCAAACGGG
rnacentral:rRNA from 1 species